CGUUCUUUAUAUAAAGUACCUCAUAUAAUCUUGGGAAUAUGGCCCAAAAGUUUCUACCUGCUGACCGUAAAUCGGCGGACUAUGGGGAAAGAUUUUGGAUCU
rnacentral:ncRNA from 2 species